AGCGUACACGGUGGAUGCCCUGGCAGUCAGAGGCGAUGAAGGACGUGCUAAUCUGCGAAAAGCGUCGGUAAGGUGAUAUGAACCGUUAUAACCGGCGAUGUCCGAAUGGGGAAACCCAGUGCAAUUCGUUGCACUAUCGUUAACUGAAUACAUAGGUUAACGAGGCGAACCGGGGGAACUGAAACAUCUAAGUACCCCGAGGAAAAGAAAUCAACCGAGAUUCCCCCAGUAGCGGCGAGCGAACGGGGAGCAGCCCAGAGUCUGAAUCAGCUUGUGUGUUAGUGGAACGGUCUGGAAAGUCCGACGGUACAGGGUGAUAGUCCCGUACACCAAAAUGCACAGGUUGUGAACUCGAAGAGUAGGGCGGGACACGUGGUAUCCUGUCUGAAUAUGGGGGGACCAUCCUCCAAGGCUAAAUACUCCUGACUGACCGAUAGUGAACCAGUACCGUGAGGGAAAGGCGAAAAGAACCCCGGCGAGGGGAGUGAAAAAGAACCUGAAACCGUGUACGUACAAGCAGUGGGAGCACCUUCGGGUGUGACUGCGUACCUUUUGUAUAAUGGGUCAGCGACUUAUAUUCUGUAGCAAGGUUAACCGUAUAGGGGAGCCGCAGGGAAACCGAGUCUUAACUGGGCGUUAAGUUGCAGGGUAUAGACCCGAAACCCGGUGAUCUAGCCAUGGGCAGGUUGAAGGUUGGGUAACACUAACUGGAGGACCGAACCGACUAAUGUUGAAAAAUUAGCGGAUGACUUGUGGCUGGGGGUGAAAGGCCAAUCAAACCGGGAGAUAGCUGGUUCUCCCCGAAAGCUAUUUAGGUAGCGCCUCGUGAAUUCAUCUUCGGGGGUAGAGCACUGUUUCGGCUAGGGGGUCAUCCCGACUUACCAACCCGAUGCAAACUACGAAUACCGAAGAAUGUUAUCACGGGAGACACACGGCGGGUGCUAACGUCCGUCGUGAAGAGGGAAACAACCCAGACCGCCAGCUAAGGUCCCAAAGUCAUGGUUAAGUGGGAAACGAUGUGGGAAGGCACAGACAGCCAGGAUGUUGGCUUAGAAGCAGCCAUCAUUUAAAGAAAGCGUAAUAGCUCACUGGUCGAGUCGGCCUGCGCGGAAGAUGUAACGGGGCUAAACCAUGCACCGAAGCUGCGGCAGCGACACUAUGUGUUGUUGGGUAGGGGAGCGUUCUGUAAGCCUGCGAAGGUGACCUGUGAGGGUUGCUGGAGGUAUCAGAAGUGCGAAUGCUGACAUAAGUAACGAUAAAGCGGGUGAAAAGCCCGCUCGCCGGAAGACCAAGGGUUCCUGUCCAACGUUAAUCGGGGCAGGGUGAGUCGACCCCUAAGGCGAGGCCGAAAGGCGUAGUCGAUGGGAAACAGGUUAAUAUUCCUGUACUUGGUGUUACUGCGAAGGGGGGACGGAGAAGGCUAUGUUAGCCGGGCGACGGUUGUCCCGGUUUAAGCAUGUAGGCUGAUUGUCCAGGCAAAUCCGGAUAAUCAAGGCUGAGGUGUGAUGACGAGGCACUACGGUGCUGAAGUAACAAAUGCCCUGCUUCCAGGAAAAGCCUCUAAGCAUCAGGUAACAUCAAAUCGUACCCCAAACCGACACAGGUGGUCAGGUAGAGAAUACCAAGGCGCUUGAGAGAACUCGGGUGAAGGAACUAGGCAAAAUGGUGCCGUAACUUCGGGAGAAGGCACGCUGGUGUGUAGGUGAAGCCCCUGCGGGUGGAGCUGAGACCAGUCGAAGAUACCAGCUGGCUGCAACUGUUUAUUAAAAACACAGCACUGUGCAAACACGAAAGUGGACGUAUACGGUGUGACGCCUGCCCGGUGCCGGAAGGUUAAUUGAUGGGGUUAUCCGUAAGGAGAAGCUCUUGAUCGAAGCCCCGGUAAACGGCGGCCGUAACUAUAACGGUCCUAAGGUAGCGAAAUUCCUUGUCGGGUAAGUUCCGACCUGCACGAAUGGCGUAAUGAUGGCCAGGCUGUCUCCACCCGAGACUCAGUGAAAUUGAACUCGCUGUGAAGAUGCAGUGUACCCGCGGCAAGACGGAAAGACCCCGUGAACCUUUACUAUAGCUUGACACUGAACAUUGAGCCUUGAUGUGUAGGAUAGGUGGGAGGCUUUGAAGCGUGGACGCCAGUCUGCGUGGAGCCAACCUUGAAAUACCACCCUUUAAUGUUUGAUGUUCUAACGUUGGCCCCUUACCGGGGUUGCGGACAGUGUCUGGUGGGUAGUUUGACUGGGGCGGUCUCCUCCCAAAGCGUAACGGAGGAGCACGAAGGUUAGCUAAUCCUGGUCGGACAUCAGGAGGUUAGUGCAAUGGCAUAAGCUAGCUUGACUGCGAGCGUGACGGCGCGAGCAGGUGCGAAAGCAGGUCAUAGUGAUCCGGUGGUUCUGAAUGGAAGGGCCAUCGCUCAACGGAUAAAAGGUACUCCGGGGAUAACAGGCUGAUACCGCCCAAGAGUUCAUAUCGACGGCGGUGUUUGGCACCUCGAUGUCGGCUCAUCACAUCCUGGGGCUGAAGUAGGUCCCAAGGGUAUGGCUGUUCGCCAUUUAAAGUGGUACGCGAGCUGGGUUUAGAACGUCGUGAGACAGUUCGGUCCCUAUCUGCCGUGGGCGCUGGAGAAUUGAGGGGGGCUGCUCCUAGUACGAGAGGACCGGAGUGGACGCAUCACUGGUGUUCGGGUUGUCAUGCCAAUGGCACUGCCCGGUAGCUAAAUGCGGAAGAGAUAAGUGCUGAAAGCAUCUAAGCACGAAACUUGCCCCGAGAUGAGUUCU
rnacentral:rRNA from 2 species